rnacentral:rRNA from 1 species
CCCUUAGAUGUUCUGGGCAGCACGCGCGCUACAAUGGUCUUCGCAAACGGAUGCAUUCUCGAAGGAGAAUGCCAAUCUUGGAAUCUAUGCCUUGGUCGGGACAGUUGCUUGCAAUUUUUCGACUCGAACCAGGAAUUCCUUGUAAUCGUGAUUCAUCACAUCACGAUGAAUACGUCCCUGCCCUUUGUACACACCGCCCGUCGCUCCUACCGAUCGGGUGUGCUGGUGAAAUGUUCGGAUCGGCCGUUUGUCGCGGUUUCCGCGUCAUGUGGCUGAGAAGUUCAUUAAACCCUCCCACCUAGAGGAAGGAGAAGUCGUAACA